UACGGGGGGGGCAAGCGUUGUUCGGAAUUACUGGGCGUAAAGGGCGCGUAGGCGGCUCGCUAAGUCGGGUGUGAAACUCUGGGCUCAACCCAGAGCCUGCAUUCGAAACUGACGAGCUAGAGUUCUGGAGGGGAAAGCGGAAUUCCGUGGUGUGAGCGGUGAAAUGCGCAGGAUAUCGAGGAGGAACACCGGUGGCAAGGCG
rnacentral:rRNA from 1 species